UACGGAGGGGGCUAGCGUUGUUCGGAAUUACUGGGCGUAAAGAGCUCGUAGGCGGCUCGUCGCGUCGACCGUGAAAACCCGCGGCUUAACUGCGGGCUUGCGGUUGAUACGGGCGGGCUAGAGUUCGGUAGGGGAGACUGGAAUUCCUGGUGUAGCGGUGAAAUGCGUAGAGAUCCGAAGGAACGCCGGUGGCGAAAGCGGCGGACUGGGCACCUUCUGACGCUGAGGCGCGAAAGCCAGGGGAGCAAAGCGGG
rnacentral:rRNA from 1 species